rnacentral:rRNA from 1 species
CCUACGGGUGGCAGCAGUGAGGAAUAUUGGUCAAUGGUCGGGAGACUGAACCAGCCAAGCCGCGUGAGGGAUGAAGGUACAGAGUAUCGUAAACCUCUUUUGUCAGGGAACAAAGGCGGGGACGUGUCCCCGGAUGAGUGUACCUGAAGAAAAAGCAUCGGCUAACUCCGUGCCAGCAGCCGCGGUAAUACGGGGGAUGCGAGCGUUAUCCGGCUUUAUUGGGUUUAAAGGGUGCGCAGGCGGUCUGUUAAGUCAGCGGUAAAAGCCCGGGGCUCAACCCCGGCCCGCCGUUGAAACUGGCAGUCUCGAGUUGGAGAGAAGUAUGCGGAAUGCGCGGUGUAGCGGUGAAAUGCAUAGAUAUCGCGCAGAACUCCGAUUGCGAAGGCAGCAUGCCGGCUCCACACUGACGCUGAGGCACGAAAGCGUGGGUAUCGAACAGGAUUAGAGACCCGUGUAGUC